CCCAAGCAGCAGUGGCUCCUGUCAAGCAAAGGAGACGGUCACCCCGCAGGUCUGUGCCCCGCCCAGGCGGGGGGGGGCGACAUACCUUUGUACCUCUCCAGGACAUCCUCGUAGGCCUGGAGGUACUCCUGCUCGUCCACGCACAGGCUUCAGCUGCACAGAUGACUUGCAGUUUCCACCUGAACCCACCUCCCUGCUGUGUGUCUGCAGCUCCAUCACGCGGAAGGGACCUCCAGUUCGCACCAGUCCAUCAGGCUCAUGAAAUCGCCCCUCCCGCAGCGAGCCCCCCAGCAGGAAGCUGCCGGCCUGCUCUCGGUCCGGGGUAAUCAGACUCUCCCUCUGGGUUCUCCUCAUCCAGGCCCUCAGAGCCAUCACAGCUGGGCUCUCACCCUGCUGUGACUCUCUCACUCGCGCCAUGUGAGGUUAGAACUGCUUUCAAGGCAGAACCGAGUAUGCACCUUCAUGUUGUCCCAGAAGCGUAAUAAACAUGUAUUGAACGUGAGUGACUAACGGGAUCCCCCAAACCAUAUGGUCUUCUCCACUCGAGACAUUUCCUCAUUCCAUUCUAUUUUUACAACAUUAAACACAAAUAACUGUG